UUCUUUAAUUAUAUUUAGUUUUGUAAUCUGAAUGUGAAAAUUUUAUUUUCUAAAGAAA
rnacentral:tRNA from 1 species